rnacentral:rRNA from 1 species
ACGGGUGAGUAACGCGUAAGUAACCUGUCCCUAAGUAGGGGAUAACUCUGAGAAAUCGGAGCUAAUACCUUAUGUGGUGAUGUAAGGUAAAGCCCCGCUUAGGGAGGGGCUUGCGUCCUAUCAGGUAGUUGGUGGGGUAACGGCUCACCAAGCUGAAGACGGGUAGCUGGUCUGAGAGGAUGGUCAGCCACACUGGGACUGAGACACGGCCCAGACUCCUACGGGAGGCAGCAGCAAGGGAUAUUGUGCAAUGGGCGAAAGCCUGACACAGCGACGCCGCGUGGGGGAAGAAGGCCUUCGGGUUGUAAACCCCUUUUCUCAGGGAAGAAUGACGGUACCUGAGGAAUAAGUCUCGGCUAACUACGUGCCAGCAGCCGCGGUAAUACGUAGGAGACGAGCGUUAUCCGGAUUUAUUGGGCGUAAAGCGGGCGUAGGCGGCCUUUCAAGUCGGAUGUGAAAUCUCCUGGCUUAACUGGGAGGGGUCAUUCGAAAC